AAUCCAGAAGGCAUCUAACUUUUAAUUAGGUGAUUGCAGGUUCGAGACCUGCCAGGAUCA
rnacentral:tRNA from 1 species